CAGGGAAUCUUGCACAAUGGGCGAAAGCCUGAUGCAGCGACGCCGCGUGGGGGAUGAAGGCCUUAGGGUCGUAAACCCCUUUCAGCAGGGACGAAAAUGACGGUACCUGCAGAAGAAGCCCCGGCCAACUACGUGCCAGCAGCCGCGGUAAGACGUAGGGGGCGAGCGUUGUCCGGAUUUAUUGGGCGUAAAGAGCUCGUAGGCGGUUGCGUAAGUCGGAUGUGAAAACUCAGGGCUCAACCCUGAGACGCCAUCCGAUACUGCGCUGACUUGAAUCCAGUAGGGGAGUGUGGAAUUCCUGGUGUAGCGGUGAAAUGCGCAGAUAUCAGGAGGAACACCCAUGGCGAAGGCAGCACUCUGGGCUGGUAUUGACGCUGAGGAGCGAAAG
rnacentral:rRNA from 1 species